AACGAACGCUGGCGGCAGGCUUAACACAUGCAAGUCGAACGCCCCGCAAGGGGAGUGGCAGACGGGUGAGUAACGCGUAGGAAUCUACCCAUUAGCCUGGGAUAACAGCGGGAAACUGCUGCUAAUACCGGAUACGCUCCUUCGGGAGGAAAGGUUUACUACUAAUGGAUGAGCCUGCGUUAGAUUAGCUAGUUGGUGAGGUAAUGGCUCACCAAGGCUCCGAUCUAUAGCCGGUCUGAGAGGACGAUCGGCCACACUGGGACUGAGACACGGCCCAGACUCCUACGGGGGGCAGCAGUGGGGAAUAUUGGGCAAUGGGCGCAAGCCUGACCCAGCCAUGCCGCGUGAGUGAUGAAGGCCUUAGGGUUGUAAAGCUCUUUUAGUAGUGAAGAUGAUGACAGUAGCUACAGAAAAAGCCCCGGCUAACUUCGUGCCAGCCGCCGCCGUAA
rnacentral:rRNA from 1 species